AACGCUGGCGGCGUGCUAACACAUGCAAGUCGAACGAAGCACUGAAGAAUGGAGAUUCGUCAAAGUUCUUCUUUGACUGAGUGGCGAACGGGUGAGUAAUGCGUGAGCAACCUGCCCUUCAGAGGGGGACAACAGUUGGAAACGACUGCUAAUACCGCAUGACGUGUUCGGAUGGCAUCAUCUGAAAUACCAAAAGGAGAAAUCCGCUGAGGGAUGGGCUCACGUCUGAUUAGCUAGAUGGCAGGGUAACGGCCUACCAUGGCGACGAUCAGUAGCCGGACUGAGAGGUUGAACGGCCACAUUGGGACUGAGAUACGGCCCAGACUCCUACGGGAGGCAGCAGUGGGGAAUAUUGGGCAAUGGGCGAAAAAGCCUGACCCAGCAACGCCGCGUGAAGGAAGAAGGCCUUCGGGUUGUAAACUUCUUUUAACAGGGACGAAGAAGUGACGGUACCUGUUGAAUAAGCCACGGCUAACUACGUGCCAGCCGCUGC
rnacentral:rRNA from 1 species